rnacentral:rRNA from 1 species
UUGAACGCUGGCGGCAUGCUUUACACAUGCAAGUCGGACGGCAGCACAGAGAAGCUUGCUUCUUGGGUGGCGAGUGGCGACCGGGUGAGUAAUAUAUCGGAACGUACCGAGUAAUGGGGGAUAACUAAUCGAAAGAUUAGCUAAUACCGCAUAUUCUCUGAGGAGGAAAGCAGGGGACCUUCGGGCCUUGCGUUAUUCGAGCGGCCGAUAUCUGAUUAGCUAGUUGGUGGGGUAAAGGCCUACCAAGGCGACGAUCAGUAGCGGGUCUGAGAGGAUGAUCCGCCACACUGGGACUGAGACACGGCCCAGACUCCUACGGGAGGCAGCAGUGGGGAAUUUUGGACAAUGGGCGCAAGCCUGAUCCAGCCAUGCCGCGUGUCUGAAGAAGGCCUUCGGGUUGUAAAGGACUUUUGUCAGGGAAGAAAAGGCUGUUGCUAAUAUCGACAGCUGAUGACGGUACCUGAAGAAUAAGCACCGGCUAACUACGUG